rnacentral:snoRNA from 1 species
AAUCAGGUGAUGAGAAAAAAAAAAACUGAAAUAAUGUGAUAGAACUUGGUUCCAUGAUUCCUUUGAAUUUAAGUUUUUGAUGAUU